rnacentral:lncRNA from 1 species
ACCGGGCAGUGGUGGCACAUGCCUUUAAUCCCAGCACUUGGGAGGCAGAGGCAGGUGGAUUUCUGAGUUCAAGGCCAGCCUGGUCUACAGAGUGAGUUCCAGGACAGCCAGGGCUACACAGAGAAACCCUGUCUUGGAAAAAAAAAAAAAGGAAAGAAAGAAAGAAAAAAAAAGAUUCUUUUUGAGACAGGGUAGCCCUAGCUGUCCUGGGACUAGCUCUGUAGACCAGGCUGGCCUUGAACCCACAGAGAUCCACCCAC